rfam:Aspergillus versicolor CBS 583.65 unplaced genomic scaffold ASPVEscaffold_6, whole genome shotgun sequence.
GGCACUAUGGCGGAGUGGCCUAACGCGGCGCCCUGCUAUGUCACUGCCAUUAGCGAUGGCUCUGCGAUAGCUUAGGCGUUCCCUUCGGGGGCGUGAGUUCGAAUCUCACUGGUGUCG